rnacentral:rRNA from 1 species
UCCGUAGGUGGAAAUUUAAGUCAGUGGUGAAAGCCCACAGCUCAACUGUGGAAUUGCCAUUGAUACUGGAUUUCUUGAAUCUGAUUGAAGUAGGCGGAAUAUGACAUGUAGCGGUGAAAUGCUUAGAUAUGUCAUAGAACACCGAUAGCGAAGGCAGCUUACUAAGUCAGUAUUGACACUAAGGGACGAAAGCGUGGGGAGCGAACAGGAUUAGAUACCCUGGUAGUCCACGCUGUAAACGAUGAUUACUCGCUAUUGGCGAUACACUGUCAGUGGCUAAGCGAAAGUGUUAAGUAAUCCACCUGGGGAGUACGAUCGCAAGGUUGAAACUCAAAGGAAUUGACGGGGGCCCGCACAAGCGGUGGAGCAUGUGGUUUAAUUCGAUGA